UCUUUGGAAAUUUCACAUCGUGCCCCCCAAUCCCUCUCACCUCCCAGUCCCUCCAUACCCACCAUCACCCCUGCAGUAUGCUCCCCCAAAAUUAAUUCAAAACAAAGCAAAACAAAAAACCCACCUCACUCCUCCAUCUUUCAACACGUCCUCCUUCAUCCUAGUGGUAUCGGGAGCUGCAGUGUGUCACGAAGCAUACCCCUUUUGUCCAGUCAGCCCCACCUACCAAUUAUUCAUUGUAAUGAGUCAUUGGUCUGGUUCAAGGCUUCUGAUCUGGUACACCAUCAACCCUGGGCCCCCACUGAAACUCCUCCUGGUCAUCCUGUUGUUGCCCCGAGUCAUGGAGAUCCUGCAGUCAUUGUUCUGAAGGACCAGUGCCCUUGUGCUCUCCAGCAGGUCAUAGAUGGGGCAGCUACUAGGGUGGGCCAACCCAAGGCCCGGCAGGUGGGUCUGGAUGGUAGAUGAGCUGGUCAGUCUGGGCCACUGGGACCACCCCCUUAGGGAAGGGUCAGAGCCAGCACUCCUAAGCCAUGCCAUCUGGGCCAGCUCUCCCUUGCCAGAGGCGGGGCCAUCUCUCCCAUGGGGGAGGGGAGAUUGUGGCACCAGCUCUCACAGGAGCACCUUCUAAGAACUCUCAGUAGUAACCUGGAGAGACCAACUAGGGUUAGAAAAUGUUCUUCUCUAUUAUGUCUCAGGCUGCUCUGACCACAGGCUCAAGCCAUGAGUUUUUCCAUCCCUGUCAUCCUCUCAUGUUGUCUUUCCCACCCAGGGGUUGGGGACAUGUGACAAGCCUACUCUGACAUGAAGGAGGCCAACUGGAAAGAUUCAGACAAAUACUUCCAUGCUAGAGGGAACUAUGAUGCUGCCCAAAGGGGUCGUGGGAGAGUCUAGGCUCCUGAAGUCAUCAGUGAUGCAAGAGAGGGCAUUCAGAGUCUCAUGGGCCGUGGACAUAAGGAUUCCAUGGCUGACCAGGAAGCAAACAGAUGGGGCCGCAGUGGCAAGGACCCCAGUCACUACGGACCUGCAAGACUGCCUGCCGAAUACUGAGCAUCCUCCUUACUGCCUCAGGAGGCUGUGCUGCGGGCUCUGGGAUCAGGACAUGGGGUUCUUCACUUUUGUGUCCACUGUGGGUGUGGAGGACAUACAGUGCACAUGUAAUAAAUUCGUAAGAGAUGAA